rnacentral:rRNA from 1 species
CCUACGGGCGGCUGCAGUGGGGAAUAUUGGACAAUGGGCGAAAGCCUGAUCCCGCCAUGCCGCGUGUGUGAAGAAGGCCUUCGGGUUGUAAAGCACUUUCAGUGGGGAAGAAAGCCUUGGGGCUAAUACCCUCGAGGAAGGACAUCACCCACAGAAGAAGCACCGGCUAACUCCGUGCCAGCAGCCGCGGUAAUACGGAGGGUGCGAGCGUUAAUCGGAAUUACUGGGCGUAAAGCGCGCGUAGGCGGUCUGAUAAGCCGGUUGUGAAAGCCCCGGGCUCAACCUGGGAACGGCAUCCGGAACUGUCAGGCUAGAGUGCAGGAGAGGAAGGUAGAAUUCCCGGUGUAGCGGUGAAAUGCGUAGAGAUCGGGAGGAAUACCAGUGGCGAAGGCGGCCUUCUGGACUGACACUGACGCUGAGGUGCGAAAGCGUGGGUAGCAAACAGGAUUAGAUACCCUGGUAGUC